rnacentral:rRNA from 1 species
AACGUAGGAGGCGAGCGUUAUCCGGAUUUACUGGGUGUAAAGCGCGUGCAGGUGGUUUGGAAAGUUGGAUGUGAAAGCUCCUGGCUUAACUGGGAGAGGUCGUUCAAAACUUCCGAACUUGAGUAUGGGAGAGGGAGGUGGAAUUCCGGGUGUAGUGGUGAAAUGCGUAGAUAUCCGGAGGAACACCAGUGGCGAAAGCGGCCUCCUGGCCCAAAACUGACACUCAUACGCGAAAGCUAGGGGAGCGAACGGG